GCCUCUCCUUCGCAUAUAUAGUGUACACAGCUCUUAUACCUAUACAUAUAUACAUGUGAGUAUGUGUAUACUCAACUUUGCCAAAUAUAGUUAAUAAACUUAUUAUCGUGAUCAUCGGCGAAUUUGAGAUCUCUCUGACUUGGUAUCUCUUUUGAUUUCUAUUUAACAUUUUUAUAAGUUUUUUUUCUUUCUGAAUUUCAUUCUAUCUUUUUCUUUCUUCUCUAGACUCUAAAAUUUUUUGGGAUAAAGAACUCACAUUUUGUU